rnacentral:lncRNA from 1 species
UGUGAACUUUCCAUUUCUAAGUAGCAACAUCCCAGCAGCACCUGCAUACGGGGUAUAUAUCUCCCAAUUGAUACGAUAUUCCCGUGCUUGCAUUUCCUAUGAUGAUUUUCUUGAUAGAGGGUUGUUGCUCACAAGGAAGCUAUUACACCAAGAGUUCCAAAUGGUGAAGUUGAAAUCAUCCCUUCGUAAAUUUUACGGACGCC